GGGGCUUUUGGAGGGCUCUGUGGGCUGGCACUAAGCCUCCUAAACCAGCGUACAAAUGAGUUAGCGAGUUCAGUGAGAGUCAGGCCACCACCUGCCUUUCUGUUUGGCUGUCACUGUGGGCAACACCAUCCUCCAAGCAGCUGAGCAUGGGCUGAGUGACGUGGGGAGAGAGGCCGUUCUCUGGGCUCCGUGGGACUGGAGCCAGCUCAGCAUGUGGUGCCUGUGGCAAAAAUGCUGCGGUGGACCCUGCGUGUCCUGGGGAUGGGUGGGAUCAGAGACUUGCUGUCCAAGUCAGAAUCUCAGCUUUUCUCCUUUCUCCUCUACCCUCCUCUCAGGUACCUGUGUGACAAGGUCGUCCCUGGGAACAGGGUUACCAUCAUGGGCAUCUACUCCAUCAAGAAGUUUGGCCUGACCGCCAGCAGGGGCCGUGACAGGGUGGGCGUGGGCAUCCGAAGCUCCUACAUCCGUGUCCUGGGCAUCCAGGUGGACACAGAUGGCUCUGGCCGCAGCUUUGCUGGGGCCGUGAGCCCCCAGGAGGAGGAGGAGUUCCGUCGCCUGGCUGCCCUCCCCAAUGUCUAUGAGGUCAUCUCCAAGAGCAUCGCCCCCUCCAUCUUUGGGGGCACGGACAUGAAGAAGGCCAUUGCCUGCCUGCUCUUUGGGGGCUCCCGAAAGAGGCUCCCUGAUGGACUUACUCGCCGAGGAGACAUCAACCUGCUGAUGCUAGGGGACCCUGGGACAGCCAAGUCCCAGCUUCUGAAGUUUGUGGAGAAGUGUUCUCCCAUUGGGGUAUACACGUCUGGGAAAGGCAGCAGCGCAGCUGGACUGACAGCCUCGGUGAUGAGGGACCCUUCGUCCCGGAAUUUCAUCAUGGAGGGCGGAGCCAUGGUCCUGGCCGAUGGUGGGGUCGUCUGUAUUGACGAGUUUGACAAGAUGCGAGAAGAUGACCGUGUGGCAAUCCACGAAGCCAUGGAGCAGCAGACCAUCUCUAUCGCCAAGGCUGGGAUCACCACCACCCUGAACUCCCGCUGCUCCGUCCUGGCUGCUGCCAACUCAGUGUUCGGCCGCUGGGAUGAGACGAAGGGGGAGGACAACAUUGACUUCAUGCCCACCAUCUUGUCGCGCUUCGACAUGAUCUUCAUCGUCAAGGAUGAGCACAAUGAGGAGAGGGAUGUGAUGCUGGCCAAGCAUGUCAUCACUCUGCACGUGAGCGCACUGACACAGACACAGGCUGUGGAGGGCGAAAUUGACCUGGCCAAGCUGAAGAAGUUUAUUGCCUACUGCCGAGCGAAGUGUGGCCCCCGGCUGUCAGCAGAGGCUGCAGAGAAACUGAAGAACCGCUACAUCAUCAUGCGGAGCGGGGCCCGUCAGCACGAGAGGGACAGUGACCGCCGCUCCAGCAUCCCCAUCACUGUGCGGCAGCUGGAGGCCAUUGUGCGCAUCGCAGAAGCCCUCAGCAAGAUGAAGCUGCAGCCCUUCGCCACAGAGGCAGAUGUGGAGGAGGCCCUGCGGCUCUUCCAAGUGUCCACGUUGGAUGCUGCCUUGUCCGGUACCCUGUCAGGUGAGCAGAUGCAGGGGACAUGGUCUCAAUUGAUCUGGGUUCCCUGGCUCGGAGCUCUGUGGGCAGGGCUCUGGCCUGCUGGGGGCCUGCAGUGUGUGUCUUGCUUCUCUGAGUUUGCUGAGCUUCUCUGAGUUUCUUUUUGCAAUAAGACCCCUCUCCUCCUUUCUCCCCACCGCUGUUUCCUCCAAGAUGGGAAGAAGCAGCUUCUCUCCAGACCCUUGAACACAAUCCUCUUGACCCAGGUCAUUGAUGAUAAUUACCCUUCUCACUGGCUAGGAACAACAGUUGACGCUCUGCUUCCUAGAGCUCGUCAGCAUUUUCAGUGCUUCCAGAGUUAUUUCUUGCAUUUUUCCUUCCAGCUGCCCCCUGGAAGCCAGGUGAGCAGUCAGUCCUGCCCAUGUUAGAAAUGAGACAGCUGACACUCGAAGGGGCCUUUCCCUGGUGCCCAAGAUCACAGUCGCUUGGCUGGAAUGCAAGUCUCCUGGCCCCUAGGCCAGCGUUUUCCACACCAUAAGCCAUACUGUCUGGUUUCGGUCAGCCUUUCAACAGACUGUCCCAGGCACCAAUCAUGAGCCAGGCUACCUACGCUGGGGAAAAUCUGUUCCUUCACCCAGCAGAUACUUCAUUAGUGUUACUGUUUGCCAGGCACUGUUCUAGGUGCUGGGAGUAUAAGAGCAAUCAAUCACAAGGUCCCCGCCCUCCUGGGUUCUCAUUCUCGUUCUAGUUGGGGAGAGAUAGACAGUAGAGAAACAAAUGCAGGUAGUGUAGGUAGUGAAAAAGGCAGUGAGGGAGAUGAUGGCAGGGCCAGGUGUGUUGGAAAAGGAGGACGUGCUCUUUCCCAUGGAGUGAGUGGGCAUGGCCUCUGCCAGGAGGUGAUGCCAAGCAGGGAGCUGCAUGAAGUGGACAGUGUGGCUCCUUGGGGGAAGAGCUGCUCAGGUGGAGGCAGCGCUAAGUGUCAGUUUCCCCAGGAGGGAGCAGGUUUGGUGCAUUUGACUGGGGAGGCACUUGGGUGAGGAAUGGGGUGGGUGGGGCCUGUUCCUCCUGUCCCCCUUGGUGAAGACUCAGCCUCUACCCUGGAGACACUUCCUGUCACAUGAGACAUUGCAGGUGGAGGCCUCUGGGAUGCUGCAGGCACAGAGGGUAGGGGUGAUAUGGAGUGGUGAUAAUUUGAGUUGGGUCUUGUGGGCUAUGUAGGAGUUUGCCUCACAGACUCCCCUCUCAAUGACUUCUUGACCAUGAGCCCACCAUCGCCUUAGCUGAAACACCAAGGCCUCUGUGGCAGUAAUUGGAAGUCACGAGCCUCCUGGUUGCCGAGGGCUCCUCAGGGCACCUCGUAGAUGUGUCCAGGGCAGGCUGGCUUCCCUCCUGGGUCACUGAUGGGCCCCUUCCAACUCUCUCUCUAAUCUAUCUGCUCCAGCAACAAAAGGAGUCCUGCUGUGGCCUCCAAGGGCCCGCAGGACUUGGUCCCUAGUGACACUCUGGCCAUGUCUCUGCUGCGCUGGGCCCCGGGCUGCUUUUUGAAUGAGACAGGUGUGUUCCUGCCUCUGUGACUUUGUGCUUGGCCUGGAGUGUCCCCACAUGUGCCAUAUCCUGUCUCCUCAAUCAGGCCUGCACCACCCUGGCACACUCGGUGCCCUUUUCUGACUUACUCUUCGGGGCCUGGCUCAGGCUAUUCUUCCUUGGGCUAGAGGCUGUCUCUGUCCAAGAACUCCCAUUGUCCCAGCUCCCUGGCUGCCUCACUUCUCAAUGCCCACAGGGGUGGAGGGCUUCACCAGCCAGGAGGACCAGGAGAUGCUGAGCCGCAUCGAGAAGCAGCUCAAGCGCCGCUUUGCCAUUGGCUCCCAGGUGUCUGAGCACAGCAUCAUCAAGGACUUCACCAAGCAGGUGAGCCUGCCUUGGAGUGGGGGUGUGAGCCGGCACGGGGUGCAGGGCUUUCUGCUGGUUCCCACCCACUCAGCACUGGCGUCUUACUCAGCAGACAGGCCCUGAACGGGGGUAGGAUGGACAACUGUCCCUUUCUCAGACCUUUUCUAGCCAUCAUUCCUUCCCCAGGGACGUCUUCAUCAGGAGCAGGGAUGGGGGUAUUUUUUCUGUCCCACGAAGGGGAGAGGAGAGCAGAGGUGGUUGGAUUCUGGUGAAACCCCAUACAAGUUCCCCGCAGCCCUUCCCGUCUGUGCCUUUCCCCGUUGGCGGGCAUUUCAUGGAGUGGGAAGGGGCAGAGCCAUGAGAGUGAGCUUUCUGGCUCACUGAGGAGGGUACUGUUGGCCCCAUAGAGAGAAGAUGGGAUUUUCCAGAUGCUCUGGAAAACCUGUCACCUUAAAAAUCUCAGGAUUAAUCCUAGUUUCUGGUCUCCGCUCCUUGUACAUCAUCUCAUUUUGAUUCAGGGCAGUUUAAUGGGUGGUAUCGUGUCUAUUCUAUAGGUGCGCAGACUGAGGCUUAGAGAAAGGUUUAGAGCUUCAGUUCUAGAGUCAGAUGGGACUUAAGUCCCAGCUCUACCGCUUAAUUGCUGUGACUUUGAGCAAGUGGCUUAGCCUCCGUGUGCCUCAGUGUCUGGUACACAGUGGGCACUCAGGAAGUGUGGGCCCUUUAGGUCAAAGGAGCCUGAGUUCAAAGUUCCCCCUGAGCCUGGGGAUGUCUGGGCUCUGUCGGAGUCCCCUCGGGCAGCACGUGCCGUUAGCCAGCCAUGUGCUCCCACAGAAAUACCCGGAGCACGCCAUCCACAAGGUGCUGCAGCUCAUGCUGCGGCGCGGCGAGAUCCAGCAUCGCAUGCAGCGCAAGGUUCUCUACCGCCUCAAGUGAGUCGCGCCGCCUCACUGGACUCAUGGACUCGCCCACGCCUCGCCCCUCCUGCCGCUGCCUGCCAUUGACAAUGUUGCUGGGACCUCUGCCUCCCCACUGCAGCCCUCGAACUUCCCAGGCACCCUCCUUUCUGCCCCAGAGGAAGGAGCUGUAGUGUCCUGCUGCCUCUGGGCGCCCGCCUCUAGCGCAGUUCUGGGAAGUGUGCUUUUGGCAUCCGUUAAUAAUAAAGCCACGGUGUGUUCAGGU
rnacentral:sRNA from 1 species